GUCAAGUAGAUUUAUCUUCUUUUGAGAAAUAAAUCCCGUUUAAUUUUUGACGGGUGCAUAUGUGUAAUUGCCUCAAAACCCAUCCGUGUGAAACGGUAAAACAUUCCGAUAAAACUGGUUUUCGUAAGUUUACCAAGCACGAGUUUUUCGUGCGUACAUUGUAAAGGCUGCGCAUUUAAAGUUUAAAAUUUGACGUGGAAACAUCGCUUAUUAAAAUUGCUGUCGUUAUUUGAAAUGCUUCAAAAGUUCAACACAGCUGGUUUCAAGUGUUCACCAAUUCGUCUUUCAGAUAAUAUUACUGAUACAGACUGAUGUGUGCAGCUAUGUCUAUAGACAUAUAGACGAACACGUGAAAACUCGAAUCGUGCUGUAAUACUUCCAGAGCAAAGGUAUAUCAAGGAAGGAACCGGUUGAUGUUAUGGGCUGAUGGAUAGCGGCAUGGCAUGGUUCAAUGUGCUGAUGGGAAAUGACUCCUUAAUUCACGCUAUUCAUGUAAAAGGUAAUUACUUGCAUUGAUCUUUAAUAUUAACUUGAUUUGUUGGAUAGAUUAUCAAGUAGAAAUAUUUCUUUCAUGCACGAGAUGUAUAGUAAUUGAGUCUGAAGUUGGCAGCCUAGCGGCCCAGUGGCCUAGUAGCGGCUCAGCGGCCUGGCGGCGUGAAGUUGGCGGCCCAGUGGCCUGAACUUAGUGUUGUAGAAGUUUGUCGACUCAUAGUUAAUUUUGAAGUCAUUUUAAAGUUACAUAAAAGAAAGAAAGGAAAAAUGCAUAUUCAUAAAGAAUAGCCUGGCAACCUAAAAUUUUACAGUUGUAGAAAUUUUAUAAAAACAAUAAAAACGGCACAUUGUGAAGUUCUUUUGACAAUUCUUGAUAUUAAAGCAGCGCGCCUCCAAAUUCACGCUAAUUUUCAUGAUUUUUUUUAAAUGUAUUUGAAUGUAUAAUAUUGCGAAAUAACCAAAAGGAAGCAAUUUGCACAUUAUCAAUAGCAUCUACAACCCAAGCAAAUUACCAAAAAGUUGUCAAAAUAUGCAUAAAUAGUCCUUACUGCAUUAGAACAUGUAACGCAGUAGAAAUGUAGUUGUAAAUAUUGGAAAAUCAGUCAUUUAUCGCACAUUAAAUGUAAAAUAUUACUUGAAUCUUGAAUCAUUCUACUUUUCCUAAAAUCAUAGUACAUAUUUCUCAAGUUAGAUUUUAUUGAAAUAUUUUGACUCAUCUGGAGGCAUGCAGCUUUAAAAAAAAAAAAAAAAAAAAAAAAAAAAAAAAAAUAUAUAUAUAUAAAACAAACAGGGAAUCAUAAAAGAACUUUUUUAUUAUUUUAUCUUUUUUGUGAAGUUUGCGGCCUAGCGGCCUAUCGGACUAAACUUUGACAGUCCACUCAAGCUAAUUUGUUGUUUCUUAUAUGACUUUCCUACUAUUUUAACAUCCGUACGACAAUUUUUUUUUUUUCGUGUUUAACAUUGUCAAAUUCUAAACAUUGAUUAAAUAUGCCGUUUUAAUUAGUUAUAAUCCAAAGUUUCUCUAAAGUAUUUAAAUUGAUUGAUAAUGUUAACGAAUUAAAGAGAAGUUGAAAUUGUCGAUCAUAUUUGUUAAUUAAUUAAGCAAUACAUAAUAAACAAGGGCCAAUUAUCAUUAAAUAAUAAGAAAUUGAAACUUCUACUUCCUUCAAUAUAUGUAUAUAAAAGAUAAAGGAUUCGAACCGACGACCUUGUUUGCAGUGUCUUUGGUCUGUUUAAAGGCACCUCAGUUUUUCCACGUUUUGCGGGAAGUGACCUGAUUUAAAGUGCUACGUUGUGUUUGUCAAGUUUUGUUUGUUUCCCUUUAGAAAUCUUUAGCUAAUAGUCUCUUUAUCUAAGUUACUUCAUUUUAUUUUCCGUUUGAUCGUCUUACAGCCUAUGUAUUUUGAUGACCAAAACCGUUUUAUUUGAAAAGGUCAAUGGUUCUACCAAGCAAUUUUUUUUCCCAGAGAUAAUUGUCCCAAAACAUAUGCUGUAUUGUGCGACUGCAUAGCAUCAAUCGGCAUGCUACAACGCAUGCAUAUCGUUUCAUUUAGUAAUUUUGUAUUGAAGGAAAGGCGGCAUAAGAAAUUGAGAUUUAAGUCUGUCACAUAGCAUUCAAUGCCCGGUCGUGAGCAUAAAAAAAAAGUCUGAAACAGCAUUUGCAUAUUUCUAAAUUAAAAAAAAAAACGAUAUUGCCGCGAUAAAGUUAUGCUCACAUUUCCUAGGUUAACCGUUUGUAACAGCACCUUGCGUUCUGCGGUUAUCUCUUAUAUUGGUGUUAAUGGGCGUGCGCCCUUAACCGUUAGAGGGGGCCUGUGACCAUGCGGUCGGCCAGUAAGCCAUGUCCAUAAAUUUGUCUGUGUCUUAUUUGGACAGGGCUGCAAAAAAUCAACUUGCCGGCCGACGCCUUUAAGUGGCUAGUCGAAAGUUGAAGGAGCAGCAUUUGAUAUGUACGUGUAGGUCCGUACUUAUCGCUUUCGCCGCGUUGUCUUUGCUACAUACCUCUAACACACGGCUUUGUUGAAACAGACAUGUAAGUCCCCCUGUCUUUCCGGUCCGAUGCUCAGCUCAGACUCUUUUGUGGAUGGCGUUUAAAAUAUAUGUAUUGUAGUAAUAUGUACUACACACCUUCUCCCCUUUUUGUUUCUCUUUGGUUGUUUGAGCAAUUUUUAUUUAUUUAUUUUUUGAUUUUUGUUUUCUUGACAUGCAAAAUGUUUAUCUCGUACUUGUUCCGCCUUUCCUUCAGUAUAGAUGAUAAUGUACUUCUCUCGCUUUUCCUUCAUUUUCACUGAUGCAUAUUUCAGGGUAGUCGAGAUCAGACUGGUAUCCAAUAAGCAUUUUACCAUUUCAGCGCAGGAGUUAUGAAAAUAAUUAAUAAAUAACUACUUAGGAAAACCCAAGGCAUCAACUGUAUCAAAUCUUUACAUUUUCCUUUCGCAAAUACGUGCAUUCACUAUGAAAAUCAUUAGUGGCGAAUUUCAUUUCUUGAAAUAUUAAGUGGCCCUCAACACACAAAAUGUGCAUUUCGGUAUUUGAUAAAAAUGUUGUCGUCAAGAAAUAUCUCAUUGAUAAGAGAUUUAAUGGGAGCAAUUUGCCCCGAUUUCUCUUUAGCUUUGUUAUUGUUUUACUCUUGUAAAAUGCCACGCCGCUUUAUAUUCUUAAUCGUUGACCUCUUUGCGGCAAGUCCAAGCAGAGUUUAGCAUUUUCAGAGCUUAUUAUCAUAGUUUACAGCACUUUGCGUUGCUAUGUAGCUUUCCAUGCAUUUAGCUGGGAGCUGUCUUUCAUAUUUUUCUCAUUCAUUUCAUAUUUUUUGACGAUGAUAUUUGUUUUCACCAAAAAGCACAAUAAAGUCACGGCCUUAUUCCAAUCAUUCUGUGUUCUGUUAUUUUAUUCACAAUUGACUAUUUAUUAAACAGUUGUGUUUUCUUCUGGGAAAUAUAACUAUUUGUAUUAGAAGUGUUGCGCAGUUCCAGACGGUGCUAUAUCUGCAAUGUAAAGAUAUGUGCAUGAUGAUCUUUGGUUCUACCGUUUUAAUAGCUUAGAAAUGCUACUAUUGGUUCUACAUUCAUACGUAUCUGCUAUAUAUGGUUUUGUUCAUUUAUAAAGAAAUUGCGUCAUCUUAGACCCCAUAUCUUUCAACGAAAGAUAUCUCAGCAAUAACUAAAGUUCCGUCUGCUUUCGAACCUUGUCGCUGGAAAGCUACUUAGUAGUAAGAAUACCCGUUAAUAAAUUAAGUAGAUUUAUCUUCUUUUGAGAAAUAAAUCCCGUUUAAUUUUUGACGGGUGCAUAUGUGUAAUUGCCUCAAAACCCAUCCGUGUGAAACGGUAAAACAUUCCGAUAAAACUGGUUUUCGUAAGUUUACCAAGCACGAGUUUUUCGUGCGUACAUUGUAAAGGCUGCGCAUUUAAAGUUUAAAAUUUGACGUGGAAACAUCGCUUAUUAAAAUCCCACCCUCCCUUCCCAUGUGUUAUUUGUAUUUCAAUUUUACAUAAACAUGUUCUGCUGCCGAGUGUUUAUAUUUUUCAGCUUGAAUCCAGUCGGUUUUUCAUUACUUCCCGUUCAGCCAUGCCAUGCCGCUCCAUCGACACGUGUGCUUGAAUUUGAUGUCCAGUAAUUACAGUCUACAGAAAACAUUUUAUCCCACGUAUUUAGUGUUUGAAAUGUGUUGACACUCAAAGUAAUAAUUGGAUGCUCUACGUCUGAUUACAACAAACUUUGUUGUAGAAAUAAACAGUUGUAAUUUGGAACAUUACUCGAUACUUAAAAAUAAUUUAUUAAAAUAUUUAUUAGUAUUAACAAUAAUUAAUUGAGCUAAAUGAUUAAAAUGGUGCCUUUUUAUAUAUUCUAAUGCUUAAAUGAAUUUGCAAGGAUGCGACCCGACAUUUUUGUGGUAUGACAUUGACAAACGGGUACAGGUUUCCUAUUUUUCCCACUGGGUUUUAUUUGGUUUUUCCUGGGCGAGUCGACCACAAUUUGCAAGUUUCAUGGUAUAGGAAAUCAAAAUGUUUUUAUUUUACUAUUUUUACAUACCUAACUUUAUUGAUCAUAUCUGAAAACUAGAAUAUAUCUUUCAUAAUGCAAAUACGUUUGUAUACUAGUAAUUGAUACAUUAGUGUGUUAAAUCCAGUCGUGACUUUAUAUAGUAUUACUGUAACUUCUCUAAGUCAAAUUAUAUUCAAGACUUUUCAUUAUCAUUGCGAAUAUCUCAUUGAUAAGAGAUUUAAUGGGAGCAAUUUGCCCCGAUUUCUCUUUAGCUUUGUUAUUGUUUUACUCUUGUAAAAUGCCACGCCGCUUUAUAUUCUUAAUCGUUGACCUCUUUGCGGCAAGUCCAAGCAGAGUUUAGCAUUUUCAGAGCUUAUUAUCAUAGUUUACAGCACUUUGCGUUGCUAUGUAGCUUUCCAUGCAUUUAGCUGGGAGCUGUCUUUCAUAUUUUUCUCAUUCAUUUCAUAUUUUUUGACGAUGAUAUUUGUUUUCACCAAAAAGCACAAUAAAGUCACGGCCUUAUUCCAAUCA